rnacentral:rRNA from 1 species
UUCCAUGUUGCCAGCACUUCGGGUGGGGACUCAUGGGAGACUGCCGGGGUCAACUCGGAGGAAGGUGGGGACGACGUCAAAUCAUCAUGCCCCUUAUGCCUUGGGCUUCACGCAUGCUACAAUGGCCGGUACAAAGGGUUGCGAUGCUGUGAGGCUGAGCCAAUCCCAGAAAGCCGGUCUCAGUUCGGAUUGGGGUCUGCAACUCGACCCCAUGAAGUCGGAGUCGCUAGUAAUCGCAGAUCAGCAACGCUGCGGUGAAUACGUUCCCGGGCCUUGUACACACCGCCCGUCAAGUCACGAAAGUCGGUAACACCCGAAGCCGGUGGCCCAACCCUUGUGGGGGGAGCCGUCGAANGUGGGACUGGCGAUUGGGACUAAGUCGUAACAA